rnacentral:tmRNA from 1 species
GGGGACGUUACGGAUUCGACAGGGAUGAUCUGGGCUUGGGUUGCGCGUCGGAGGAUCGGCUCCGUCAUCAACGUAUCUAUAACAACUGGCAAAACUAACAACAACCUAGCAUUCGCAGCGUAAGCUCGAAUCUGCUCUAUGUAUCCAUCGCCCAUGUGGCUAUGUAGAGCUCACUAAUAGUGGGAUACGGUAACCGGUGCCGUUUGAGCCGGUUGCAGGAGAUUUUCAAACUAGUCCAUAGGACGCCUGCUUAUCGGCAGAAUAUGCGACGAACUUCCAAUAGGUAAGCUACACGCGUAGAUGCUCAAGUAGCGGAGUCUCUGGACGCGGGUUCGACUCCCGCCGUCUCCAUAC